rnacentral:rRNA from 1 species
AGAGUUUGAUCCUGGCUCAGAUUGAACGCUGGCGGCAUGCCUUACACAUGCAAGUCGAACGGCAGCACGGGAGCAAUCCUGGUGGCGAGUGGCGAACGGGUGAGUAAUGUAUCGGAACGUACCUUUCAGUGGGGGAUAACGUAGCGAAAGUUACGCUAAUACCGCAUAUUCUGUGAGCAGGAAAGCAGGGGAUCGCAAGACCUUGCGCUGAUUGAGCGGCCGAUAUCAGAUUAGCUAGUUGGUGAGGUAAAGGCUCACCAAGGCGACGAUCUGUAGCGGGUCUGAGAGGAUGAUCCGCCACACUGGAACUGAGACACGGUCCAGACUCCUACGGGAGGCAGCAGUGGGGAAUUUUGGACAAUGGGGGCAACCCUGAUCCAGCCAUGCCGCGUGAGUGAAGAAGGCCUUCGGGUUGUAAAGGCUCUUUCAGCCGGGAAGAAAACGCGUGGGUUAAUA